CUAGCCCCAGGUGGCGCGCGAGCUGCAGCGAGUCAACAGACUUCAGGAGUCUGAAAUGCGUCGGCUCACCCAGGGCCCGAGUUGUAAUUUGUAGAGGAUGCUUUUGGCGAGGCGCCUUCCGAGUACCCUGGAACGGGACGCCACAGAGGGUGAGAGCCCCGUCUGGUCGGAUGCCAAGCCUAUGUAAAGCUCCUUCGACGAGUCGAGUAGUUUGGGAAUGCUGCUCAAAAUGGGAGGUAUAUGUCUUCUAAAGCUAAAUACCGGCCAGAGACCGAUAGCGCACAAGUAGAGUGAUCGAAAGAUGAAAAGCACUUUGAAAAGAGGGUUAAAAAGUACGUGAAAUUGUUGAAAGGGAAGCGCCUAUGACCAGACUUGGGCCCGGUGAAUCAUCCAGCGUUCUCGCUGGUGCACUUUGCCGGGCACAGGCCAGCAUCAGUUUGGCGCGGGGGACAAAGGCUUCGGGAAUGUGGCUCCCCUCGGGGGAGUGUUAUAGCCCGUUGCGCAAUACCCUGCGCCGGACUGAGGUACGCGCUCCGCAAGGAUGCUGGCGUAAUGGUCAUCAGCGACCCGUC
rnacentral:rRNA from 1 species